rnacentral:rRNA from 1 species
AACGAACGCUGGCGGCAUGCCUAACACAUGCAAGUCGAACGAGACCUUCGGGUCUAGUGGCGCACGGGUGCGUAACACGUGGGAAUCUGCCCUUUGCUUCGGAAUAACAGUUAGAAAUGACUGCUAAUACCGGAUGAUGUCGAAAGACCAAAGAUUUAUCGGCAAAGGAUGAGCCCGCGUAGGAUUAGGUAGUUGGUGGGGUAAAGGCCUACCAAGCCGACGAUCCUUAGCUGGUCUGAGAGGAUGAUCAGCCACACUGGGACUGAGACACGGCCCAGACUCCUACGGGAGGCAGCAGUGGGGAAUAUUGGACAAUGGGCGAAAGCCUGAUCCAGCAAUGCCGCGUGAGUGAUGAAGGCCUUAGGGUUGUAAAGCUCUUUUACCAGGGAUGAUAAUGACAGUACCUGGAGAAUAAGCGCCGGCUAACUCCGUG